rnacentral:rRNA from 1 species
ACUCCUACGGGAGGCAGCAGUGGGGGAAUAUUGCACAAUGGGGGGAAACCCUGAUGCAGCCAUGCCGCGUGUAUGAAGAAGGCCUUCGGGUUGUAAAGUAACUUUCUAGCAGUGAGGAAGGCGGAGUCGUUAAUAGCGGCCUCGUUUGACGUUAGCUGCAGAAGAAGCACCGGCUAACUCCGUGCCAGCAGCCGCGGUAAUACGGAGGGUGCGAGCGUUAAUCGGAAUUACUGGGCGUAAAGCGCAUGCAGGUGGUUUGUUAAGUCAGAUGUGAAAAGCCCGGGGCUCAAACCUCGGAAAUUGCAUUUGAAACUGGCAGACUAGAGUACUGUAGAGGGGGGUAGAAUUUCAGGUGUAGCGGUG